UACAGAGGGUGCAAGCGUUGUUCGGAAUUAUUGGGCGUAAAGGGCGCGUAGGCGGUGCGGUAAGUCUCUAGUGAAAUCUCCGGGCUCAACUCGGAGCCUGCUAGGGAAACUGCCGUGCUUGAGUGUGGGAGAGGUGAGUGGAAUUCCCGGUGUAGCGGUGAAAUGCGUAGAUAUCAGGAGGAACACCUGUGGCGAAAGCGGCUCACUGGACCAUAACUGACGCUGAUGCACGAAAGCUAGGGGAGCAAACAGG
rnacentral:rRNA from 1 species